rnacentral:lncRNA from 1 species
UUUUUUUUUUUUUUGCGUUAUGCCAUCUCAAUCAACCAGAACCAGUAGCUUGUUAUGUCUGUGUAUUCAGACUGCUGCACGUACUACUGGUGCAAUUUUUUUUUUGUUUUUCAAGUGAUGUGUGCCUCAAAUAUAUCCAUUUGGAAUUAUUUAUCAUAUUAUAAGAACGAAUUUAGGUUAAUAGUUAUAUGGGAAGUUUCUUUCUGCCAAUUGCAGUUUUGAUGAAAAUUUCAGGUUUAAUUGGAUGGCGAGUUUGUUUCAUUCAUUUGUCAUAUGAGAUGUUGCUCCCAAUUAAAUCUAAAAGUUGGAAACACCAUCACUCUUUAAUGUUUUCGCAUAAUGACAAGCCUAAUAUCAUUUUCGGGUGUUUCAUUCCGCCACAAAUUUGACAAGUUACUUUCCUUCCUUAUUUGGUG